UGCUGCGUUGUCUGCUAGCCACGGGGCCUCCGGAGCCGUGUGCGCAGGUUCGAAUCCUGCCGGGG
rnacentral:tRNA from 1 species